AGUCAGCGUGCCAGCCCUCCAUUGGCCACUGUGGGAAAUUCUCUGGGCUGGUGGCCUCUUAGGCUGCUUCCUAGCCUGGCCUCUCUGAGCGCAGGGGCCAGGUCCCACCAUCCGAGCACCCACACACAGUGCCGGCACAGAGCCUGGCAGCCAGUAGGGCGGUGAUGAAUGCUCCCAAGCCCGUGAAUGGAUGGGACCCACCUUAACUUCUCCACGUGACCGCUUCAUCUCCGAGUGUGUCCUUAUGUGUACCCAGGAGUACCCACACCAUCCACAGUAACUGGCCCGGGAGAAGGUGGUUCGAAAUUAACAAACCUUCCCCAGCUGCCUUCCGCCCGCUCUUCCAGCCCCCUGCACACCCCUCCACACACCAAGAAACAAAAGCAAAGGCUGCUGGAGCCACGAAGGACCUCAGAGCAUCCAGUCCAGCCCCCUGAGAGGCAGCAGAAGGCAUGAAUAUCCACACAAAACGGGAUAAAUAAAGACUACAGAUAACUUGA